rnacentral:rRNA from 1 species
UCUUACCUACGGGGGGCAGCAGUGAGGAAUAUUGGUCAAUGGCCGAGAGGCUGAACCAGCCACGUCGCGUGAGGGAAGACGGCCCUACGGGUUGUAAACCCCUUUUGUCGGGGAGCGAAGCGAGUCACGUGUGACUCAUUGAGAGUACCCGAAGAAAAAGCAUCGGCUAACUCCGUGCCAGCAGCCGCGGUAAUACGGAGGAUGCGAGCGUUAUCCGGAUUUAUUGGGUUUAAAGGGUGCGAAGGCGGAGGUGCAAGUCAGCGGCCAAAUUGCGGGGCUCAACCCCGUACUGCCGUUGAAACUGG